rnacentral:rRNA from 1 species
UGAUCAUGGCUCAUGAUGAACGCUAGCGACAGGCCUAACACAUGCAAGUCGAGGGGCAGCACGGGAGUAGCAAUACAACUGGUGGCGACCGGCGCACGGGUGAGUAACACGUAUGCAACCUACCUGUAAGAGGGGAAUAACCCGGAGAAAUUCGGACUAAUACCGCAUAAUACCUCGAAGCUGCAUGGCUUUGAGGUUAAAUAUUUAUAGCUUACAGAUGGGCAUGCGUAACAUUAGAUAGUUGGUGAGGUAACGGCUCACCAAGUCAACGAUGUUUAGGGGUUCUGAGAGGAAGGUCCCCCACACUGGUACUGAGACACGGACCAGACUCCUACGGGAGGCAGCAGUGAGGAAUAUUGGUCAAUGGGCGAGAGCCUGAACCAGCCAAGUCGCGUGAAGGAAGAAUGUCCUAUGGAUUGUAAACUUCUUUUGUAAGGGAAUAAAAAAGGGUACGUGUACCCUAUUGUAUGUACUUUACGAAUAAGGAUCGGCUAACUCCGUGCCAGCAGCCGCGGUAAUACGGAGGAUCCGAGCGUUAUCCGGAUUUAUUGGGUUUAAAGGGUGCGUAGGCGGACCAAUUAGUCAGUGGUGAAAGUUUGCAGCUCAACUGUAAAAUUGCCAUUGAAACUGUUGGUCUUGAGUGUAAAUGAGGUAGGCGGAAUGUGUUGUGUAGCGGUGAAAUGCUUAGAUAUAACACAGAACACCAAUUGCGAAGGCAGCUUACUGGGAUACAACUGACGCUGAGGCACGAAAGCGUGGGGAUCAAACAGGAUUAGAUAC